rnacentral:rRNA from 1 species
AGUGAACGCUGGCGGUAGGCCUAACACAUGCAAGUCGAACGGAAGCACAGUAAGAGCUUGCUCUUACGGGUGGCGAGUGGCGGACGGGUGAGGAAUACAUCGGAAUCUACUUUUUCGUGGGGGAUAACGUAGGGAAACUUACGCUAAUACCGCAUACGACCUACGGGUGAAAGCAGUGGAUCUUCGGACCUUGCGCGAUUGAAUGAGCCGAUGUCGGUUUAGCUAGUUGGCGGGGUAAAGGCCCACCAAGGCGACGAUCCGUAGCUGGUCUGAGAGGAUGGUCAGCCACACUGGAACGGAGACACGGUCCAUGCGCCUACGGGAGGCACCAGUGGGGAAUAUUGGACAAUGGGCGCAAGCCUGAUCCAGCCAUACCGCGUGGGUGAAGAAGGCCUUCGGGUUGUAAAGCCCUUUUGUUGGGAAAGAAAAGCAGCAGGUUAAUACCCCGCUGUUCUGACGGUACCCAAAGAAUAAGCACCGGCUAACUUCGUG